rnacentral:rRNA from 1 species
AACGAACGCUGGCGGCAUGCCUAACACAUGCAAGUCGAACGAGCCCUUCGGGGUUAGUGGCGCACGGGUGCGUAACGCGUGGGAAUCUGCCCUUUGCUUCGGAAUAACAGUUAGAAAUGACUGCUAAUACCGGAUGAUGUCUUCGGACCAAAGAUUUAUCGGCAAGGGAUGAGCCCGCGUAGGAUUAGGUAGUUGGUGGGGUAAAGGCCUACCAAGCCGACGAUCCUUAGCUGGUCUGAGAGGAUGAUCAGCCACACUGGGACUGAGACACGGCCCAGACUCCUGCGGGAGGCAGCAAUGGGGAAUAUUGGACAAUGGGCGCAAGCCUGAUCCAGCACUGCCGCGUGAGUGAUGAAGGCCUUCGGGUCGUAAAGCUCUUUUACCAGGGAUGAUAAUGACAGUGCCUGGAGAAUAAGCUCCGGCUAACUCCGUGCCAGCCGCCGCCGUAACAC